GCAGUGGCGACUCAACGGUAGAAUUCUUGUCUUCUAUGCAGGAGACUCAGGUUCAAUUCCUGGCCAAGGUA
rnacentral:tRNA from 1 species